rnacentral:rRNA from 1 species
UCGAGCGGUAGAGAGAAGCUUGCUUCUCUUGAGAGCGGCGGACGGGUGAGUAAUGCCUAGGAAUCUGCCUGGUAGUGGGGGAUAACGUUCGGAAACGGACGCUAAUACCGCAUACGUCCUACGGGAGAAAGCAGGGGACCUUCGGGCCUUGCGCUAUCAGAUGAGCCUAGGUCGGAUUAGCUAGUUGGUGAGGUAAUGGCUCACCAAGGCUACGAUCCGUAACUGGUCUGAGAGGAUGAUCAGUCACACUGGAACUGAGACACGGUCCAGACUCCUACGGGAGGCAGCAGUGGGGAAUAUUGGACAAUGGGCGAAAGCCUGAUCCAGCCAUGCCGCGUGUGUGAAGAAGGUCUUCGGAUUGUAAAGCACUUUAAGUUGGGAGGAAGGGCAGUUACCUAAUACGUGAUUGUUUUGACGUUACCGACAGAAUAAGCACCGGCUAACUCUGUGCCAGCAGCCGCGGUAAUACAGAGGGUGCAAGCGUUAAUCGGAAUUACUGGGCGUAAAGCGCGCGUAGGUGGUUUGUUAAGUUGGAUGUGAAAUCCCCGGGCUCAACCUGGGAACUGCAUUCAAAACUGACUGACUAGAGUAUGGUAGAGGGUGGUGGAAUUUCCUGUGUAGCGGUGAAAUGCGUAGAUAUAGGAAGGAACACCAGUGGCGAAGGCGACCACCUGGACCAAUACUGACACUGAGGUGCGAAAGCGUGG